GCUUGCUUUGUAAACACAUGUACUAAAAUUGGAAUGAUACAGAAAAGAUUAGCAUGGCCCCUGUGCAAGGAAGACACACAAAUCUGUGAAGCAUUUCAUUGUUUU